CUCGUAGGCGGCCAACUAAGUCGGAUGUGAAAUCCCCAGGCUUAACCUGGGAACUGCAUCCGAUACUGGUUGGCUUGAAUCCGGGAGAGGGAUGCAGAAUUCCAGGUGUAGCGGUGAAAUGCGUAGAUAUCUGGAGGAAUACCGGUGGCGAAGGCGGCAUCCUGGACCGGCAUUGACGCUGAUGAGCGAAAGCUAGGGGAGCAAAC
rnacentral:rRNA from 1 species